CAGCAUGCCGCGUGUGUGAAGAAGGCCUUCGGGUUGUAAAGCACUUUUGUCCGGAAAGAAAUCGCGCUGGCUAAUACCUGGCGUGGAUGACGGUACCGGAAGAAUAAGCACCGGCUAACUACGUGCCAGCAGCCGCGGUAAUACGUAGGGUGCGAGCGUUAAUCGGAAUUACUGGGCGUAAAGCGUGCGCAGGCGGUUUUGUAAGACAGGCGUGAAAUCCCCGAGCUCAACUUGGGAAUGGCGCUUGUGACUGCACGGCUAGAGUAUGUCAGAGGGGGGUAGAAUUCCACGUGUAGCAGUGAAAUGCGUAGAGAUGUGGAGGAAUACCGAUGGCGAAGGCAGCCCCCUGGGACGUCACUGACGCUCAUGCACGAAAGCGUGGGGAGCAAACAGGAUUAGAUACCCUGGUAGUCCACGCCCUAAACGAUGUCAACUAGUUGUUGGGGAUUCAUUUCCUCAGUAACGUAGCUAACGCGUGAAGUUGACCGCCUGGGGAGUACGGUCGCAAGAUUAAAACUCAAAUGAAUUUG
rnacentral:rRNA from 1 species